AACCUUAUGGACCUGCGGGCGUAUACCUGCGGAAGGAUCAUUAUCGUGGAGCUUCGGCUCCUUCGAGGGAGAACCCUUGCCUUUUCGAGCACCUGUUUGUUUCCUCGGCAGGCCCGCCUGCCAACGGGGACCCCUAAAACUCUUGCAAUAACCUGUACAUAAUCGUCUGAACAAAAAAAAAUCUAAAUCAAAACUUUUAACAACGGAUCU
rnacentral:misc_RNA from 1 species